rnacentral:rRNA from 1 species
AGAAUCAACGCUGGCGGCGUGCCUAACACAUGCAAGUCGCACGAGAAAGGGUAGCAAUACCUGAGUAAAGUGGCGCACGGGUGAGUAACACGUGAAUUAUCUACCUCCGAGUGGGGAAUAACUGAGAGAAAUCUUAGCUAAUACCGCAUAACACUUACGAGUCAAAGCAGCAAUGCGCUUGGAGAGGAGUUCGCGGCAGAUUAGUUAGUUGGCGGGGUAAUGGCCCACCAAGACGAUGAUCUGUAUCCGGCCUGAGAGGGCGCACGGACACACUGGAACUGAAACACGGUCCAGACUCCUACGGGAGGCAGCAGUGGGGGAAUUUUGCGCAAUGGGGGAAACCCUGACGCAGCAACGCCGCGUGGAGGAUGAAAUAUCUUGGUAUGUAAACUCCUUUCGAUGGGGAAGAUUAUGACGGUACCCAUAGAAGAAGCCCCGGCUAACUCGUGCCAGCAGCCGC